rnacentral:rRNA from 1 species
GAUGAACGCUGGCUACAGGCUUAACACAUGCAAGUCGAGGGGAAACGACGGGGAAGCUUGCUUCCCCGGGCGUCGACCGGCGCACGGGUGAGUAACGCGUAUCCAACCUGCCUCUGACUGAGGGAUAACCCGUCGAAAGUCGGCCUAAUACCUCAUGGCAUCGUCUGCGGGCAUCCAACGACGAUUAAAGAUUUCAUCGGUCAGGGAUGGGGAUGCGUCUGAUUAGCUUGUUGGCGGGGUAACGGCCCACCAAGGCUACGAUCAGUAGGGGUUCUGAGAGGAAGGUUCCCCACAUUGGAACUGAGACACGGUCCAAACUCCUACGGGAGGCAGCAGUGAGGAAUAUUGGUCAAUGGGCGGGAGCCUGAACCAGCCAAGUAGCGUGCAGGAUGACGGCCCUAUGGGUUGUAAACUGCUUUUAUGCGGGGAUAAAGUGAGGGACGUGUCCUUCAUUGCAGGUACCGCAUGAAUAAGGACCGGCUAAUUCCGUG